CACCUGGGAGACCCUCACCUGGGAGACCCUCACCCUGCAGACCCUCAGCUGGACCUGCCAGCUGCCAUGAGGCCAUCACAGAGGGCAAGGCUGAGGAGCAGUAGUGCACUGCCCUGAGGGAUGUGAGAGGACUCAGGUGUUUGUGAAACACCAGGACAAUCAUCUCCGUCGCCACGACAACCUCCAGCAACAUAUUUGCCACUUCAUUCAGCCCCAGGCAGAGGAUGAAGAGGAGAGAUGAUGAAGAGGAGAGAGAUGAGGAGGAGGAGCGAGAGGAUGAAGAGUGAGCAGUCAUCUCUCACUCAACAUUGUUCCACUCCUGUCUGUCCCUAUGCAUUGUGCUUGAGCUAUCCCAGAAUGCUCCAGUCCUAUCACGAGCAGUCUUCUGUCCGCGACAUGGGCGGCUUCUCUGUUUACUCUGCAUCUUCCUCAUUUUCCUCAUCCUCCUUUUGCCAGUGUGCUUAUCUGUGCAGUUUUUCCUCCUUUUUGUGACCAAAGAGAGUUUACUGUUUCUUUCCUCGAUUUGUUUGUCUCAAUAAAGUAACACAUCUAAUGAAAACAAUCUAGACUAGAGAAAAGGACUUCAGAAAGUCAUCCACCCAAGAAUUCAGUUUUCCAGAAGGUUUGUAAUUGUUAAAUGUCCUUGGAGUAACAGAACAUCAUAUCACAACUGGUCAUCUUAAAUAUCUACCCAUACCGUAUAAUCAUAACAUGAUGUUCACUGCUGAGAAGAUCAUGGUUGCUUUCAGCUGCAGUUCUCAGAUUGGUUUUUGUUUUCUGCUCUUGAAGAGUGAUGGUUGUGCUAAUCUGUAUAUAAUCUGCAUUUUGAUCUUGGCAAUAGUGCAAAUUAACCACUUGUAAAGGAUUAUCAGGCAUGCUUGGCUAGCAUCAACAGAGUAAUAAAACUGUCUAUAGUUACAGCAUUUCACACUCAUAUUUCACACUCACAUUUCACACUCAUAUUUCACACUCACAUUCACGUGUCUGUCCUGCCUGUCUCACUUUUCCUUCCUUUGUCAACUGUAGCUGCGUAGUCUAAUCACAUAGAGAUUAUUUAUGUAUUAAUUAAUUUAUUAUUCAUGGGUGUGGAUUAAGAUUGAUGUACUUUAAUUUGCUGUUAAAGAAUGUAGCAAAUGUUUAAAAAUGGAUUCAGAAAGCCAUCUAAGAGAGUCCUGGAACACUGUAGUUGAUACUCUGAUCCUCUCCUCAGACUAUAACCUAAUUCACAUACUGUAUUAUACAUUUAUUAACUGUGUUUAUAGACAUGAAAAUAAGACAGAAAAAUUAGAAUUCAAAUUUUAAUUGAUGUAAAUGACUGAUUUGGCUUGUUUUGUUUCAUUUCUCUGCACUCAUCCCUAAAGAGGAGGAUUGUGCUUGUGAGGUCAGAGAUGAAGUGUGUUCAGGUUACUGUACACUGGUUGGUAUGGGGUUAGUGUUCAGGUUAUUGUACACUGGUUGGUAUGGGGGUUAGUGUUCAGGUUACUGUACACUGGUGGGUAUUGGGUUAGUGUUUAUGACAGUAUUCAGUGGUGGGUAUGGGGUUAGUGUUUAUGAGUGUUCAAUGGUGGGUAUGGGGGAGUCUUUCACUGUUAGUGCAGGUUAUUGCUUGUGGCUAGUGUAUCUUGAGCAAGCAAGUACAUUGCGGUGAGUGUGCAGAUCUGUGUGCAGGUAGUAUUUGGGAUAUGUGUGAAGGUAGGAGAUAGGGAUUAGUGUUUGGGGAUGAAUAUGCAAGCCAGCAAUGGGGGGUUAGUGUUUGGGGGUGAAUGUGCAGGCCAGCAAUGGGGGUUAGUGUUUAGGGGUGAAUGUGCAGGCCAGCGAUGGGGGUUAGUGUUUAGGGGUGAAUGUGCAGGCCAGCGAUGGGGGUUAGUGUUUAGGGGUGAAUGUGCAGGCCAGCGAUGGGGGCUAGUGUUUAGGGGUGAAUGUGCAGGCCAGCGAUGGGGGUUAGUGUUUAGGGGUGAAUGUGCAGGCCAGCAAUGGUGGUUAGUGUUUGGAGGUUAAUGUGCAGGCCAGCGAUGGGGGUUAGUGUUUGGGGGUGAAUGUGCAGGCCAGCGAUGGGGGUUAGUGUUUGGGGUUGAAUGUGCAGGCUAGCGAUGGGGGUUAGUGUUUGGGGUGAAUGUGCAGGCUAGCGAUGGGGGUGAGUGUUUAGGGGUGAGUGGUUGUGAUCCUGCAGAUGAUGGAACUGCUUUCACUGUGACUGUUCCACUUUUCCUUUAACUAAUCCACAUCCUCUCUCCAGACGUAAGAAUAUAAUUAUAUACAGUAACAUAACUAUGAUCGCAUGUAUUAGUUUAUUAUAUGACUUAUAAAAAAGACAUUUAAACUCUAUACAACUACUGCUGUGUGUGUAUGGUUGAUAGAAAAUAAAAGUAUAUAUGUGUUCAUCUUUUUUUUGUAAAUGUUCUUGUUCAUUUUCUCAUCUGUAACAUAAAUCCCUUUCACACAU